rnacentral:rRNA from 1 species
AUUGAACGCUGGCGGCAUGCUUUACACAUGCAAGUCGAACGGCAGCACGGGUGCUUGCACCUGGUGGCGAGUGGCGAACGGGUGAGUAAUGUAUCGGAACGUACCCGGCAAUGGGGGAUAACGUAGCGAAAGUUACGCUAAUACCGCAUAUGCCCGGAGGGGGAAAGUGGGGGAUCGCAAGACCUCACGUUGUCGGAGCGGCCGAUAUCAGAUUAGCUAGUUGGUGGGGUAAAGGCCUACCAAGGCGACGAUCUGUAGCUGGUCUGAGAGGACGCCCAGCACAACUGGGACUGAGAUACGGCCCAGACUCCUACGGGAGGCAGCAGUGGGGAAUUUUGGACAAGGGGGGCAACCCUGAUCCAGCCAUGCAGCGUGAGUGAAGAAGGCCUUCGGGUUGUAAAGCUCUUUCGGACAGAAAGAAAUCGCCACUUCUAAUAAAGGUGGUGGAUGACGGUACUGUAAGAAGAAGCACCGGCUAACUACGUGCCAGCCGCCGCCGUAA